CCUUCUCCUUGAAGGUCUUGGAGUUCACGAGAAGCUCGUGCUCCUCUUCAUCGUCGUCGCUGUCGUCACCAUCUCCGCAGCGGUGGAGGAAUGGGAGGAGCGAGGCCAAGGAGGUAUGGGGUGCUGGCGAUAGAGAGCUGUGGGGAGAGCGGAGAGGCGGUGGUGCAACAUGGGAGUACCUCAAGCUCAUGCUCGAAGACUUUUUCUUUGGAGGUCUUGGAGUUUGUGAGGAGCCCACACUCCUCUUUGUCGUUGUCGGCAUCUCCACGGUCAUGGGAGGAAUGGGAAGAGCCUAUUAGGAUGGGAGGAGGGGAGGCAGCGGUGGAGCUAGCCUCUAUUGGUGGUGCCACUGCGGUCGGAG
rnacentral:lncRNA from 1 species